CUGAGUUUGUGUGUGUGUGGCCUCAGUCAAGUCUGACUCUCCGACCCCAUGGACUGUAGCCCACCGGGCUCCUCUGUCCGUGGAUUUUCCUGGCAAGAAUCCUGGAGGGGGUGCCAUUUUCUCCUUUGGGCACCUUCCUGACCCAGGAAUUGAACCCACGUGUCCUGUGUCUCCUGCGCUGCAGGCAGGUUCUGUGCCCACCGAGCCACGGGGGAAGCCCCCAUGUGCAGUGUGGGCAGGAGCCGAGGGUGCGGGAAAGGCUGAGCCCAGUGCCGGUGCGUCCCUGCCGGGAAGGCUGAGCCCAGUGCCGGUGUGUCCCUCCCCUCUCCUUCCCUCCGCCUCCCUUCAUUCUCCCCUUUUUCCUCCCGUCUCUCCUUCCUUCUUUUUCCUAAACAAGGUUGAGGGUCAGUUGGGCAGAUUCUGAGGCUCUGAAAGGGAUGAUCUGCCCUUCGCCCUGUGAGGCCAAUCAGGAGUGAGACGGGAAGCUGGACUUGGAGGGGAAACGGAGCCCUUUGGUGGGAACAAUAUGUGCAUAAGGCCUAGGGCACCUAUGUUAACAUCAGGUUUUCGUUUCCGGAAGCCUUUGCCUGGGAAAGAUGAGAUGGUGUGCCAGUAAAUAACCCAGCCAUUUGCUUUGGGAGAUCUCCACUGAUUAAUUGAUCAGAGCCAGUAGUCUGCUCACCAAGGCAAACAGCCUGCUUAUCUAACAAUUUACUUAUCGGUAUUUGCUUCCAGAGUCUCAGCUCUGUAUCAACUGAUCUAAGCUAUCAGGUCACAGACUUUGCCCAAUCACAGCUAAUUCCCCACCUUAAAAGAUAGGCCUCAACCAACUUGAGCCCAGACCCUGUAGCCCUGUGAAUACCUUACCUCCAGUUUUCCUUCUAAGGUGCUGCGGAGCCUCUGUGAAGAUGGUCUCCUCCCUUCUCGCAGUGAGCUUGAAUCGCCUUAGUUCUCUUUGCUGAGAUGUUGGGGAGCUCAGUAGCGGCCCUUGCCUGUCCUUUGCCGG
ensembl:lncRNA